ACAAACUUGGUCAUUUAGAGGAAGUAAAAGUCGUAACAAGGUUUCCGUAGGUGAACCUGCGGAAGGAUCAUUAACGAAUCGAACAAAGGUGCCCUUGGCUGAUGCUGGCCCCUCGGGGCACGUGCACGCCGGGGCACGCCUUCAAUUCGCCCCUUCCCCCCCUUGUGCACUCCAUGUAGGUCGCCGGUGGCGGCGGUUCCCUCCCCGCCUUCGACGCCUACGACUUUACGUCUUUGUACGCACCCAGAUCGCAUGUCUAAGUGUACAUUUCUCAUGUGAUAACACGAAAAAUACAACUUUCAACAACGGAUCUCUUGGCUCUCGCAUCGAUGAAGAACGCAGC
rnacentral:misc_RNA from 1 species